GAAUGGCAGGGAUCAGUGAUGCAGACAGUGAGAAACAAGUGAAACCGAGUGGGGAAAAAAUUGGGGAGAUGAUUUUGCCUUAACUCGCCGUUUAGUGAAUAAAUCCCUAAGAUCGUAGAUGUUGAUGGCUUGAGAUGCCUGUUUUCGCCAUCCUAGGUCCCCUUUUCUCAUAGAUCUAUAGGAAAAAAAAUAAAAAUGGGAAAUCGAGUCAGAAUACACCCAUUUUCGUCGUCUGGGCAGCCUGAGAGCAUGCGAACCGUGCAGGUAUAUCACCGAACCUUUACAGAACCUUCAAAACCGCUUACGUGGGACUGGAAUUUACAUCGUAAUUCUUUUUUCAUCCGUUUAAAUGAAAGUUCCAAUUUCCACGUAACGUAUUUUAAAGUUCGCUGCAUGUCUAAAUUGGCGGUUUGUGCUGUUACAAAAAAAAAAAAAAAAGAAAAAAAAAUCUGUUUGUCCGUCACGGUCCUUUUAAAGUGAUUGAUCUAUUUUUUAAAGCAAUGAUACUUGUCGUCGUCCUUAAUGUACUUAAGAAAACUGUGGCUAAAUCUAUUUUUUUUAACCGGGAAAAAAAAAAAAUGGGUGUACGUCAGCUUUAACCAGCAAAAAAAAAAAAGUUAAGUUAACUCGAGCCAGUAGAUUUCUUAAAAAUUGUCCAAUUUUAGCAUUGUUAACAUAAUUAGAUUAGUGAUCUCAAUAUUUAAAUGUACAUUUUGUUCUCAGAAAGGAAACUUGCUUCUAGUUUAAAAAAAAACUGACUGUUUCUACACACAAUCUUGUAUACUACUUCAAGGAGAAAAAAAGGGUUUUUUAAUGCACUGUAGAACAGUCUCAUAUUCCUUUUUUUAUAGAAAUGUAAACCCAAUGGUGCAUUCUUUUGUUUAUUGAAUAAAGUUUUUGAUACAAAAC